rnacentral:rRNA from 1 species
GUGCCAGCAGCCGCGGUAAUACGAAGGGUGCAAGCGUUAAUCGGAAUUACUGGGCGUAAAGCGCGCGUAGGUGGUUCGUUAAGUUGGAUGUGAAAGCCCCGGGCUCAACCUGGGAACUGCAUCCAAAACUGGCGAGCUAGAGUACGGUAGAGGGUGGUGGAAUUUCCUGUGUAGCGGUGAAAUGCGUAGAUAUAGGAAGGAACACCAGUGGCGACGCCACCCACCUGGACCUGAUCACUGACACUGAGGUGCGAAGCGUGCGGAGCAAACAGGAUUACCCUACCCCUGGCAGUGC